UUGGAAGUGUUAAGAAGUGAGAGAA
rnacentral:piRNA from 1 species